GGCCUAAUGGCCCAAUGGCAAGGCGCUUGACUACGAUUUCCUAGUAAUCAAGAGAUUCCAGGUUCGACCCCUGGUUAGGUCA
rfam:Stagonospora sp. SRC1lsM3a unplaced genomic scaffold IQ06scaffold_6, whole genome shotgun sequence.